rnacentral:piRNA from 2 species
UUCCAAGUGGCCAUAAGACCUCCCAGAUGUU